GCCAAUGGGCUUGCCAUCUCGAAUGUUGUAGAUGUAGUUCAUAUGAGCAUGAAUUUUGGAGCUAAAAUUUGGUGCCAAGUUUUUGGGGAUUUUCGGCCAAAUCCAAUGGGUGAUUUUUUGGGUUCAUGUUUGUCUUGUUAAAAGUGUUUUCAGGUGACUUUUGGAACCCCUAAGUACCAUAGGAUGUUAACCCCAUUUUGAGUAGUGAAAAUUGAGUUUUAUUGCUUGAAAAUGUUCAUGGAACUCUUAUGGGUUUUCAUGGAUGUUCUUCAUUUUUCUUGAAGUUCUUACCAAGAACAAAAAGGUUUGAUGUUUUGAUUCAAAGUUUUGGAUGAUUUCAUAAAGUCUUUGUUUUGUGUUGGUGGGUGUGACUUAUCUAUCAACAAAACAUUUAUUGAAAUUUUGAAAGGUGAUAGAAAUGGUGAUGGGUGUGUAAGAAGUACUUCUCUUACACACACACCACUUCCAUGGCUUUAUGACUUUGUUGAAAAAAUUUCAAAAUUUUGUGGCUUCAAUCUCUCCAAAACCAGCCACCCUACAAGUGGGGUGCUUUUGGGGCUUUUAUGCAAUUACAUAAAGUUUUGGUACUUUUGUGUAAUUUGUAGUUUGACCCAAAAGUUUACGUAUUUACGUAAAGGCCCAAAAUCAUUAAAGGACAAAUUGUUUUGUUCCUUUAAUGAUGUUUUUCAAUUUGUUGAAUUUUUGGGUUCUAGUUGUAAUUACAUGAAGUAGUAGACUUUUGUGUUUUUACAAAAUGAGCUCAAAAGUUUAAGUUUUGCAACAUAGCCCAAAAGGUUGAGGUUAUUGCAUUUUGGCCCAAAUUAGGUUGAGAACAAAAUGGUUUUGUCUCUUUAAAUGAGAAUUG
rnacentral:lncRNA from 1 species